ensembl:snRNA U6 U6 spliceosomal RNA
GUUUUGAAAAAAAAAAAAACAUAUACUUGGAUCGAUACAGAGAAUAUUAGCAUGGCCCCUGCGAAAAGGA